CGGCGUGCCUAAUACAUGCAAGUCGAACGCACUCCGUUUAGAUUGAAGGAGCUUGCUCCUGAUUGAUAAACAUUUGAGUGAGUGGCGGACGGGUGAGUAACACGUGGGUAACCUGCCCUAAAGUGGGGGAUAACAUUUGGAAACAGAUGCUAAUACCGCAUAAAACCUAACACCGCAUGGUGUAGGGUUGAAAGAUGGUUUCGGCUAUCACUUUAGGAUGGACCCGCGGUGCAUUAGUUAGUUGGUGAGGUAAAGGCUCACCAAGACCGUGAUGCAUAGCCGACCUGAGAGGGUAAUCGGCCACACUGGGACUGAGACACGGCCCAGACUCCUACGGGAGGCAGCAGUAGGGAAUCUUCCACAAUGGACGAAAGUCUGAUGGAGCAACGCCGCGUGAGUGAAGAAGGUUUUCGGAUCGUAAAACUCUGUUGUUGGAGAAGAAUGUAUCUGAUAGUAACUGAUCAGGUAGUGACGGUAUCCAACCAGAAAGCCACGGCUAACUACGUG
rnacentral:rRNA from 1 species